AUUGAACGCUGGCGGCAUGCCUUACACAUGCAAGUCGAGCGGCAGCGCGGGGGCAACCCUGGCGGCGAGCGGCGGACGGGUGAGUAAUGCAUCGGAACGUGUCCUCUUGUGGGGGAUAACCAGUCGAAAGACUGGCUAAUACCGCAUGAGCUCGUAAGAGGAAAGCAGGGGACCCGCAAGGGCCUUGCGCGAGAGGAGCGGCCGAUGCCCGAUUAGCAGU
rnacentral:rRNA from 1 species